rnacentral:rRNA from 1 species
UACGUAGGGGGCAAGCGUUGUCCGGAUUUAUUGGGCGUAAAGAGCGUGUAGGCGGCUAGAUAGGUCCGUUGUGAAAACUCGAGGCUCAACCUCGAGACGUCGAUGGAAACCAUCUGGCUAGAGUCCGGAAGAGGAGAGUGGAAUUCCUGGUGUAGCGGUGAAAUGCGCAGAUAUCAGGAAGAACACCCGUGGCGAAGCGGCUCUCUGGAACGGUACUGACGCUGAGACGCGAAAAGCGUGGGGAGCAAACAGGAUUAGAACCUACUAGUCA